GAGUUUGAUCGUGGCUCAGAUUGAACGCUGGCGGCAGGCCUAACACAUGCAAGUCGAGCGGAUGAAGAGAGCUUGCUCUCUGAUUCAGCGGCGGACGGGUGAGUAAUGCCUAGGAAUCUGCCUGGUAGUGGGGGACAACGUUUCGAAAGGAACGCUAAUACCGCAUACGUCCUACGGGAGAAAGCAGGGGACCUUCGGGCCUUGCGCUAUCAGAUGAGCCUAGGUCGGAUUAGCUAGUAGGUGAGGUAAUGGCUCACCUAGGCGACGAUCCGUAACUGGUCUGAGAGGAUGAUCAGUCACACUGGAACUGAGACACGGUCCAGACUCCUACGGGAGGCAGCAGUGGGGAAUAUUGGACAAUGGGCGAAAGCCUGAUCCAGCCAUGCCGCGUGUGUGAAGAAGGUCUUCGGAUUGUAAAGCACUUUAAGUUGGGAGGAAGGGCAGUAAGUUAAUACCUUGCUGUUUUGACGUUACCAACAGAAUAAGCACCGGCUAACUUCGUGCCA
rnacentral:rRNA from 1 species